rnacentral:rRNA from 1 species
CCCUGCCAUUUGUACACACCGCCCGUCCCUCCUACCGAUUGAAUGAUCCGGUGAAGUGUUCGGAUUGCGUCGACGAUGGUGGUUUGCCACUGUCGAUGUCGUGAGAAGUUCAUUGAACCUUAUCAUUUAGAGGA